GAUGAACGCUGGCGGCGUGCCUAAUACAUGCAAGUCGAGCGAACGGACGAGAAGCUUGCUUCUCUGAUGUUAGCGGCGGACGGGUGAGUAACACGUGGAUAACCUACCUAUAAGACUGGGAUAACUUCGGGAAACCGGAGCUAAUACCGGAUGAUAUUUUGAACCGCAUGGUUCAAAAGUGAAAGACGGUCUUGCUGUCACUUAUAGAUGGAUCCGCGCUGCAUUAGCUAGUUGGUAAGGUAACGGCUUACCAAGGCAACGAUGCAUAGCCGACCUGAGAGGGUGAUUGGCCACACUGGAACUGAGACACGGUCCAGACUCCUACGGGAGGCAGCAGUAGGGAAUCUUCCGCAAUGGGCGAAAGCCUGACGGAGCAACGCCGCGUGAGUGAUGAAGGUCUUCGGAUCGUAAAACUCUGUUAUUAGGGAAGAACAUAUGUGUAAGUAACUGUGCACAUCUUGACGGUACCUAAUCAGAAAGCCACGGCUAACUACGUGCCAGCAGCCGCGGUAAUACGUAGGUGGCAAGCGUUAUCCGGAAUUAUUGGGCGUAAAGCGCGCGUAGGCGGUUUUUUAAGUCUGAUGUGAAAGCCCACGGCUCAACCGUGGAGGGUCAUUGGAAACUGGAAAACUUGAGUGCAGAAGAGGAAAGUGGAAUUCCAUGUGUAGCGGUGAAAUGCGCAGAGAUAUGGAGGAACACCAGUGGCGAAGGCGACUUUCUGGUCUGUAACUGACGCUGAUGUGCGAAAGCGUGGGGAUCAAACAGGAUUAGAUACCCUGGUAGUCCACGCCGUAAACGAUGAGUGCUAAGUGUUAGGGGGUUUCCGCCCCUUAGUGCUGCAGCUAACGCAUUAAGCACUCCGCCUGGGGAGUACGACCGCAAGGUUGAAACUCAAAGGAAUUGACGGGGACCCGCACAAGCGGUGGAGCAUGUGGUUUAAUUCGAAGCAACGCGAAGAACCUUAUCAAAUCUUGACAUCCUUUGACAACUCUAGAGAUAGAGCCUCCCCCUUCGGGGGACAAAGUGACAGGUGGUGCAUGGUUGUCGUCAGCUCGUGUCGUGAGAUGUUGGGUUAAGUCCCGCAACGAGCGCAACCCUUAAGCUUAGUUGCCAUCAUUAAGUUGGGCACUCUAAGUUGACUGCCGGUGACAAACCGGAGGAAGGUGGGGAUGACGUCGAAUCAUCAUGCCCCUUAUGAUUUGGGCUACACACGUGCUACAAUGGACAAUACGAAGGGCAGCGAAACCGCGAGGUCAAGCAAAUCCCAUAAAGUUGUUCUCAGUUCGGAUUGUAGUCUGCAACUCGACUACAUGAAGCUGGAAUCGCUAGUAAUCGUAGAUCAGCAUGCUACGGUGAAUACGUUCCCGGGUCU
rnacentral:rRNA from 1 species